AGUAGCGGCAGCAGCGGCGCCGCCUCCCGGAGUUCAGACCCAGGAAGCGGCCGGGAGGGCAGGAGCGAAUCGGGCCGCCGCCGCCAUGGAGCUGAGAGUCGGGAACAGGUACCGGCUGGGCCGGAAGAUCGGCAGCGGCUCCUUCGGAGACAUCUAUCUCGGUACGGACAUUGCUGCAGGAGAAGAGGUUGCCAUCAAGCUUGAAUGUGUCAAAACCAAACACCCUCAGCUCCACAUUGAGAGCAAAAUCUACAAGAUGAUGCAGGGAGGAGUGGGCAUCCCCACCAUCAGAUGGUGCGGGGCAGAGGGGGACUACAACGUCAUGGUGAUGGAGCUGCUGGGGCCAAGCCUGGAGGACCUCUUCAACUUCUGCUCCAGGAAAUUCAGCCUCAAAACCGUCCUGCUGCUUGCUGACCAAAUGAGGAAAUGGAAAUGUGCUGAGCCUCAGCCUU
rnacentral:sRNA from 1 species